rnacentral:tRNA from 1 species
GGGCGAUUAGCUCAGUGGGAGAGCGCCUCGUUCACACCGAGGAGGUCGGAGGUUCGAAACCUCCAUCGCCCA